UAAGACCAAGGAGACAUUUAAAUUAGCAGAUACUCCAGAUGUGAUGUCACGGGUCCAUCAGCCAACAGCCAAAUCACAUUUAAAUGCAAGUUUAUAAGAGGGAGCUGAACCACUGUAAUUACACAUUAGGGGAUCUGAAAUCGUUGUUGGUUGAGCAAUUAGCAUUUCCCCCCGUUUUUUCUCUCGCUUGCAAUAAGUCUUGUGUGCGAGAAGGAUGCUGACUUCGCAUUUUGGAUGAAGACUGGGUGUCGGCUAUAGAGGCUACUCCAACACCACUUGGCAACGAGCAGGUUAGUAGACUACGGGAGAUUAGUAGACGACGCGAUUUUAAAAGAAAGAAUAUCUACAAAGCAAGGUUGUUCGAGUGAAGAAAAAUAUAAAGACAUCAAAAUUAUGUCCAACUCACCAGACAUGAUGGUUAACAGAUGUUAAAAACUUGAUGAAGCUGCUCUGGGAAUCCUCCACGUAUUGUUCCUGGCAGACUUGUAUGGCCAAGAACGAAUUAUCCAUAAAAGUCUUAGAAAAUAUCUUAAGAGACAACUACAAGUCCUCUUAGACCAUACAACAAUAUAGUAAUAUACCUGGGGAUAUAUUAGUUUGAGUUUUUCUCGCCCCAUGCCUACUAUUUAAAACCCCUAGAACUCCAUGAUUUGACAAUGAUUUGAUUGCGCGAUACUUUCAAUUUGAAUAUUCAAAGGCUUCGCUUAAAAACUCAUAUUUUCAAUAUAUUUGCACCACAAAUGCAUAAAACAACACUUUCUGCAAUAGAAUAAUAUGUUUAUUCGAUUCUUGACUCAAAAUAACAAACCAAUUUUAAUCUUUUUAUCCUCCUUUUGAUUAAGGUAGUGUAACUCCCCUAGUUGGGCUAUAUUUCAUUAUUUCAUGAAUAUGCUUCCACGAAACAUCUAUCAAUCAUUUAUAUAGCGCUGCUAACAUCUUUACCUGUUGGAAACGACAUACAUUAGGGAUAUAACUUGCAUUUAUAAUGCAAUUUUAAGGACAAUUUGAUAAAAUAAUGGGGCUUGUGGGCGUGGCAUAAGGCAGCAGCCAUGUUUCUCAUCUCAGCUUCUCUAGCACUUUGUGCCUUACUCUGCAUCUCCCUGCACCAUGCCAUUAUACCCAUUUAUCAUAUCCAUAACCGUUUGCACAUAUUUUUCCAGCCUUUUUCAUAUUCCAGAAGGACGUGGUAAACCGUCAUACCAACCACAAACACAACUUCCCCAGGCCCCGGAACUGCCCUCUACACUAUCUGUGAAGUAAUUAAUAAAAGCCAAAUCUUUAAUGAGAA